AACGAACGCUGGCGGCAUGCCUAACACAUGCAAGUCGAACGAAACCUUCGGGUCUAGUGGCGCACGGGUGCGUAACGCGUGGGAACCUGCCCUUAGGUUCGGAAUAACUCCCCGAAAGGGGUGCUAAUACCGGAUAAUGUCUUCGGACCAAAGAUUUAUCGCCUUUGGAUGGGCCCGCGUUGGAUUAGCUAGUUGGUAGGGUAAAAGCCUACCAAGGCGACGAUCCAUAGCUGGUCUGAGAGGAUGAUCAGCCACACUGGGACUGAGACACGGCCCAGACUCCUACGGGAGGCAGCAGUGGGGAAUAUUGGACAAUGGGCGAAAGCCUGAUCCAGCAAUGCCGCGUGAGUGAUGAAGGCCUUAGGGUUGUAAAGCUCUUUUACCCGGGAUGAUAAUGACAGUACCGGGAGAAUAAGCUCCGGCUAACUCCGUG
rnacentral:rRNA from 1 species